UUGCGUUUCCAAUUCUGAGGA
ensembl:piRNA 21ur-1836 ncRNA